GGAAUAUUGCACAAUGGGGGAAACCCUGAUGCAGCAACGCCGCGUGAGUGAGGAAGUAUUUCGGUAUGUAAAGCUCUAUCAGCAGGGAAUAGAAAAGAAGGUACCUGAAAAAGAAGCCCCGGCUAACUACGUGCCAGCAGCCGCGGUAAUACGUAGGGGGCAAGCGUUAUCCGGAUUUACUGGGUGUAAAGGGAGCGUAGACGGCAGCACAAGUCUGGAGUGAAAUGCCGGGGCUUAACCCCGGAACUGCUUUGGAAACUGUGCAGCUAGAGUGCAGGAGAGGUAAGUGGAAUUCCUAGUGUAACGGUGAAAUGCGUAGAUAUUAGGAGGAACACCAGUGGCGAAGGCGGCUUACUGGACUGUAACUGACGUUGAGGCUCGAAAGCGUGGGGAGCAAACAGG
rnacentral:rRNA from 1 species